GACGAACGCUGGCGGCGUGCUUAACACAUGCAAGUCGAACGGAAAGGCCCUGCUUUUGUGGGGUGCUCGAGUGGCGAACGGGUGAGUAACACGUGAGUAACCUGCCCUUGACUUUGGGAUAACUUCAGGAAACUGGGGCUAAUACCGGAUAGGAGCUCCUGCUGCAUGGUGGGGGUUGGAAAGUUUCGGCGGGUGGGGAUGGACUCGCGGCUUAUCAGCUUGUUGGUGGGGUAGUGGCUUACCAAGGCUUUGACGGGUAGCCGGCCUGAGAGGGUGACCGGGCACAGAGGGACUGGGGUACGGCCCGUAGGCCUACGGGAGGCAGCAGUGGGAAUUAGUGCACGAGAGGCGGAGGCCGGAAGCAGCAACGCCGGGUGGUGAAGGACGGCCUUCGGAGAGUAAAGCGCUUUCGCCUGUGACGAAGCGUGAGUGACGGUAAUGGGUAAAGAAGCACCGGCUAACUACGUG
rnacentral:rRNA from 1 species